rnacentral:rRNA from 1 species
GGUAAUACGUAGGUGGCAAGCGUUAUCCGGAAUUAUUGGGCGUAAAGCGCGCGCAGGUGGUUUCUUAAGUCUGAUGUGAAAGCCCACGGCUCAACCGUGGAGGGUCAUUGGAAACUGGGAGACUUGAGUGCAGAAGAGGAAAGUGGAAUUCCAUGUGUAGCGGUGAAAUGCGUAGAGAUAUGGAGGAACACCAGUGGCGAAGGCGACUUUCUGGUCUGUAACUGACACUGAGGCGCGAAAGCGUGGGGAGCAAACAGGAUU